UACAGAGGGGGCAAGCGUUGUUCGGAAUUACUGGGCGUAAAGGGCGCGUAGGCGGCCUGUUAAGUCGAACGUGAAAUCCCCGGGCUCAACCCGGGAACUGCGUCCGAUACUGGCAGGCUUGAAUCCGGGAGAGGGAUGUGGAAUUCCAGGUGUAGCGGUGAAAUGCGUAGAUAUCUGGAAGAACACCCGUGGCUAAGGCGGUUCUCUAGUACGGUACUGACGCUGAGACGCGAAAGCGUGGGGAGCGAACAGG
rnacentral:rRNA from 1 species